rnacentral:rRNA from 1 species
UACGUAGGGUGCAAGCGUUAAUCGGAAUUACUGGGCGUAAAGCGUGCGCAGGCGGCUUUGCAAGUCAGAUGUGAAAUCCCCGGGCUUAACCUGGGAACUGCAUUUGUGACUGCAUGGCUGGAGUGCGGCAGAGGGGGAUGGAAUUCCGCGUGUAGCAGUGAAAUGCGUAGAGAUGCGGAGGAACACCGAUGGCGAAGGCAGCCCCCUGGGCCAACACUGACGCUCAGGCACGAAAGCGUGGGGAGCAAACAGG